rnacentral:tRNA from 1 species
GGAAGGAUGGCAGAGCGGUUGAAUGCGACAGUCUUGAAAACUGUUGGGGGGGCAACUCCCCCGUGGGUUCGAAUCCCACUCCUUCCG